UCAACUGGCCUACCUGGUUAAAUAAAGGUGUUCUCAACUGGCCUCCCUGGUUAAAUAAAGGUGUUCUCAACUGGCCUCCCUGGUUAAAUAAAGGUGUUCUCAACUGGCCUACCUGGUUAAAUAAAGGUGUUCUCAACUGGCCUACCUGGUUAAAUAAAGGUGUUCUCAACUGGCCUACCUGGUUAAAUAAAGGUGUUAUCAACUGGCCUACCUGGUUAAAUAAAGGUGUUCUCAACUGGCCUACCUGGUUAAAUAAAGGUGUUCUCAACUGGCCUACCUGGUUAAAUAAAGGUGUUAUCAACUGGCCUACCUGGUUAAAUAAAGGUGUUCUCAACUAGCCUACCUGGUUAAAUAAAGGUGUUCUCAACUGGCCCUACCUGGUUAAAUAAAGGUGUUCUCAACUGGCC